rnacentral:piRNA from 1 species
GGUAGAACAUGAAGCAGAGAGAGUG